GACGAACGCNUGGCGGCCCUUCUAAGGCAUGCAAGUCGAACGAGCGAGAGAGAGCUUGCUCCCUCGAGCGAGUGGCGAACGGGUGAGUAACGCGUGAGGAACCUGCCUCAAAGAGGGGGACAACAGUUGGAAACGACUGCUAAUACCGCAUAAGCCCACAGGUCGGCAUCGACCAGAGGGAAAAGGAGCAAUCCGCUUUGAGAUGGCCUCGCGUCUGAUUAGCUAGUUGGUGAGGUAACGGCCCACCAAGGCGACGAUCGGUAGCCGGACUGAGAGGUUGAACGGCCACAUUGGGACUGAGACACGGCCCAGACUCCUACGGGAGGCAGCAGUGGGGAAUAUUGCACAAUGGGGGAAACCCUGAUGCAGCGACGCCGCGUGGAGGAAGAAGGUCUUCGGAUUGUAAACUCCUGUUGUUGAGGAAGAUAAUGACGGUACUCAACAAGGAAGUGACGGCUAACUACGUGCCAGCAGCCGCGGUAAAACGUAGGUCACAAGCGUUGUCCGGAAUUACUGGGUGUAAAGGGAGCGCAGGCGGGAAGACAAGUUGGAAGUGAAAUCUAUGGGCUCAACCCAUAAACUGCUUUCAAAACUGUUUUUCUUGAGUAGUGCAGAGGUAGGCGGAAUUCCCGGUGUAGCGGUGGAAUGCGUAGAUAUCGGGAGGAACACCAGUGGCGAAGGCGGCCUACUGGGCACCAACUGACGCUGAGGCUCGAAAGUGUGGGUAGCAAACAGGAUUAG
rnacentral:rRNA from 1 species